ACUGAUGCUAAGAACUUGAAGCAGGACUUGUCCCAUUUGGCUGCCACAGUUUUCUGUGAAAAGCCCUGCAGAAGCUGUUAACAAAAUUAUCUACCGGAGGGCAUCAGAAAGCAUCAUCAUUGGAAGUAGCAGUUGCCAUUCUCUGAUAAUCUAGUAAUGAAAAUGGUACAGAUUUGUACAAGCUAAACCAUAGGAAGAAGCAUGGGAACUAACGAAUUUGGAGCCUGGAUUGAAGUUACCUUUCCAGAGGAUUUGUGUUUACUUCUGCUGGUCGUCAAGG